CUAUAAAGCAGUAGUAGUUGUUGUCUGUUUGAAAUGAUGGGACUGAAGUAGUGUGUGUGGAGUGUCACAGUCAAUAUCAUCAGCAUCUUGGUGUAUAUAUAUAUGGGUGUGGUGCGGUCAAUGGUCUGGUUUACGGUCUUUUGUAAGUACCUUUGCACACAUGGAACCACACAACAGGUUAGGAAAAGGAAGAAGAUCAUUACAGUAAGAACUGCCAUCCCUAUUUGGAAAAGAGUCCUCUGCCAUCCACUCAUCCAUCCAAACCAUUUAUCCCAAGAGUUAGGAACCCCUAAAUUUUUCUUUAAUUCAUCAGAGAGAUUUUCCAAUUUUUCUAUGGCCAUAGUCACUUUACCAUUAGGACCAGUAUUGUCUGGGAUAAAAGUAGAGCACAUCAUCGUCUCAGGGAGUAUUUUACAUACGUCCCCCUUUUCAGCUAAAAUCAUGUCUAAGGCUAUCCUGUUUUGGAAUGUCAUGUGGGAGGUAGCCUGUAACUGCUCGGCUAAGCCCUGUAGGGCAUCUCGAGUGUAGUUGACAAAGCGUUGUUGGUUGUAGUAGAUGUAAUUGAUCCAGUUAACAUUUUUAUUAGCAGU